rnacentral:rRNA from 1 species
UACGUAGGUGACAAGCGUUGUCCGGAAUUAUUGGGCGUAAAGGGAGCGCAGGCGGUUGGAAUAGUCUGAUGUGAAAGCCCACGGCUUAACCGUGGAAUUGCAUUGGAAACUGUCCAACUUGAAUGCAGAAGAGGAAAGCGGAAUUCCAUGUGUAGCGGUGAAAUGCGUAGAUAUAUGGAGGAACACCAGUGGCGAAGGCGGCUUUCUGGUCUGUGAUUGACGCUGAGGCUCGAAAGCGUGGGGAG